rnacentral:rRNA from 1 species
UACGUAGGGGGCAAGCGUUGUUCGGAAUUACUGGGCGUAAAGGGCGCGUAGGCGGCCCGGCAAGUUAGGAGUGAAAGGCCUGGGCUCAACCGAGGAACUGCUUUUGAGACUGCCGAGCUAGAGUGCAGAAGGGGCAACUGGAAUUCUCGGUGUAGCGGUGAAAUGCGUAGAUAUCGAGAGGAACACCGGCGGCGAAGGCGGGUUGCUGGGCUGAUACUGACGCUGAGGCGCGAAAGCCAGGGGAGCGAACGGG